AACGAACGCUGGCGGCAUGCCAAACACAUGCAAGUCGAACGAGAUCUUCGGGUCUAGUGGCGCACGGGUGCGUAACGCGUGGGAAUCUGCCCUUUGGUUCGGAAUAACAGUUGGAAACGACUGCUAAUACCGGAUGAUGACGAAAGUCCAAAGAUUUAUCGCCAGAGGAUGAGCCCGCGUAGGAUUAGCUAGUUGGUGUGGUAAAGGCGCACCAAGGCGACGGUCCUUAGCUGGUCUGAGAGGAUGAUCAGCCACACUGGGACUGAGACACGGCCCAGACUCCUACUGGGGGCAGCAGUGGGGAAUAUUGGACAAUGGGCGAAAGCCUGAUCCAGCAAUGCCGCGUGAGUGAUGAAGGCCUUAGGGUUGUAAAGCUCUUUUACCCGGGAUGAUAAUGACAGUGCCGGGAGAAUAAGCUCCGGCUAACUCCGUGCCAGCCGCCGCAGUAA
rnacentral:rRNA from 1 species